AGAUCCUCGUGUGAUGUGGGGAUUUAGAUACCUGGCAGAGGUACAGUGUCUUGGUCUGUAUGUCUGACUGCCUUCUAAUGUCUUUGUUUAAAUACAUGUAUUUUACUACCUCUUUCUAAGAACUAACAUUGGUAUCUUUAUCUGACAGUGCAGAGUUAUCAUAUGUCAGAUGAGUAACACCAGAUCAGAAGUUUUCCACUGGCUCCUUUGGCCGCUGGCUCUUGUGGUUGGACUGACUGUCUCUGGGUAUCUUGGGACAAUGGAAGAACCUACCUUUUUUGCUGCUGCAGUUGGUGCUACAGUAGCACAUGUACAUUAUGGAGUAUGUGUGGGAAAGCAGCUUAGCAAACACUUCCAUAUCUAUAUAUUCUCCCUAAAGAAGCGGUAUGCUGACUAAGUGAUUGACGUGUUACUCUGCAUAAAGGUUAUUCUAUUGUACUAGAUAUGAAGAACUGUAAUCAUGUCAAUGGAAAUCAUCUGACCAAAGAUUUCAUCAUUUAUACAUGUACCUUGAAGAUGUUCUUUGGAGCCUGAAAGUCUAAGAAUCAUAAGGGAGGAAUCAUAAAGGAGUCUGUCACAGGCAGACUCUAGACUUGGUAAUCAUUGCUUUUCACAAGCAACAAUAUUUAUUGCAAGGGAUCAAAACAGGGUUUACAUAGCAAUGUAUAUUGCAAAUUUGGUAAUGGUUUACACAAUAUUUGUAAUGAAAUCAUAUGUAGUACAACACGGUGAUGUAUCCAAUCAGCCUUUGUUAGUUUAACCAUAAUAAGUUCCUCAAAGCUGAUAUUGGUUACAUGGAAUUACUGUACCUCAGAUCUUUUUGCACUGAUGUUUUAUUAAACAAGCCCUGUGGUCUCUUAAGACAUAUGGUUUAAGCAUAGAAAUGUAUUUAAUGUUUUGUAUUUUAAUGAAUAAAGCAAUUAUUUGUUCUGUAAA